GCGGCUGUGGUGGAACGGUAGACACGCUAUCUUGAGGUGGUAGUGGCAACAGCUGUACGAGUUCAAGUCUCGUCAGCCGCACCA
rnacentral:tRNA from 2 species